rnacentral:pre_miRNA from 14 species
UAAUCACAGGGACUGAUCACUCUGACCUUAGAAAUCAAGCUUGGGUUAGACCUGGUUCUUAUACACUGAGGCGACCCAUACUUGGUUUCUGAGGCUGAAGUGCUAUAGCUGUGAAUGCACA